rnacentral:rRNA from 1 species
AACGAACGCUGGCGGCAUGCCUAACACAUGCAAGUCGAACGAGACCUUCGGGUCUAGUGGCGCACGGGUGCGUAACGCGUGGGAAUCUGCCCUUGGGUUUGGAAUAACAGUGAGAAAUUACUGCUAAUACCGGAUGAUGUCUUCGGACCAAAGAUUUAUUGCCCAAGGAUGAGCCCGCGUAGGAUUAGCUAGUUGGUGGGGUAAUGGCCUACCAAGGCGACGAUCCUUAGCUGGUCUGAGAGGAUGAUCAGCCACACUGGGACUGAGACACGGCCCAGACUCCUACGGGAGGCAGCAGUGGGGAAUAUUGGACAAUGGGCGAAAGCCUGAUCCAGCAAUGCCGCGUGAGUGAUGAAGGCCUUAGGGUUGUAAAGCUCUUUCAGUGGGGACGAUAAUGACGGUACCCGCAGAAGAAGCCCCGGCUAACUUCGUGCCAGCCGCCGCAGUAACAC